CAGCAAUCAUUCACUAGGAUCCAUCUGCUGUGAUAUGUGUCAUAUUUUAAGGUGGACCUUCUGUGCUGCCUCCAGCUCAAGCCAGGCCUGUACCUCUUCUGCUUACCUCCAUGGGCAAUUCCAUCUAGGCUCCUUCCAUUCCGUGGGUUUCCUGGGGAAGAGUAGACCCCAAUUUCUACUUUUUCAUCUUGUCUGACCCAAUGUCCUGGAGACAUUUUCUUCCCAAAACUGCUGGAUGUUCCAUUGUGGUAACAAGGUAUCCAGCUCCCAGCUGGAAAAUAGGGCAAAUUGGGAUUGAAAGGAAACAUUCCAAAUGAAGAAAUCUAAUGAAGCAAGCACUAAGAUGUAGACAUGCAGAGACAGGGUGACUACCCCUGCAGGACCUUACUCGAUUACUCCAUACUGACCGAAGGUCCCAUGAAAAAAACGUGUUUUGAUCACAUACGUCUCCCCAGUCCCAGGCCAGCUUCUCUGCUUCCCUCCCGAAGGAAACUUUGUGAGUUGCCAGCAUGGCUGACUUAACCUUUUCCCUCACAUUCUCUCCUCAGUCUGUUUCCCCUGAGACUUCUCUUGUCCAAGUCACUGUUGGCGUCUAUGUUGCCAGACCCAAGGGUUACCUCUGCUUUUACUUUAACUUCACUGUCUGAGCCAUGUUAGACACUGUCUUUAUUAAGUACUUUCUUCUUUGUGGUUAUAGGGUAAAAAUAACCUCUGAGUUUUCCUUUCUGGUGAAGCCCAGUCUCAGAAUCCUUUGCCAGUUCUUCUGCUGAACCUUUAAAUGGUGGAGAGCUCAGGUUCCCAGGGCCCCUCUCUCUGUACACACUCCUGGUCUUGUCCCGUAGCUUUAAACACCACACAUAAACUUGUAAAGUGGCCAAGAUAAGGGUGGGAGGAAAAUUUGUACCUUUUAAUUUUUAUACAAUGACAAAUUAAAAUUUAAAGAGAUAUAUGAGGGGAAAGACCCCAGGUAAUUGGGGUGCUUUCUUAUAGGAGGCCAACCUUACUGCUGAUACAGCAGGAAGAAGUCAGUGACAGAGUUGCGUGUCUGUGUGACGGUUCUUCUGUGAUGGCUUCAUGUUGCUCAUGGAACAGGAGGCAAAGUUCUCCAUUCAGAGUGAGGAAAUGGGCCAGGGGAAGUUGGGAGGAAUGCUUGAGGCUUGGAGGGAGUGAUGGUUUAGAAAGGUGUUGCGGCGAGUGGAAGUGCAAGUUGACCAGAGACAAGCGAGAGGACCGUUGAGGCUCUCGGUGAUCCUGGUUUUAUAGUGGGGGUUGCAGCAGGGAUACGUUGUGACUCUGCUGCAAAUGAGGAUGUGCUAUAAAUGGUUGUCCAACCUCCGGCAGGUUACUCAAACUUUGUACUCUUCAGAGUUUCUUCUUUUGUAAACUGAGGGAUCAUUCAUUUACUCAACAAAUGCCUGUUUAAGUGCCCAUUAUAUACCUGGCAUUGUUCAGGGGCUGAGAAUACAGCAAAAAAGAAGAGAAAUCCCUGCCCUCAUAAUAGUCGUAUCUCCCUUUCAUGCUGUUAUGGGGCUUACGUGAAGUUUUAAGAUAUAUACCUUCUUCUUUUAAAUUUUAAAUCUCUGUAAUUGGGAUUCAUAUUACAAUCAAUGGCGCCAUAAUUGGCAGGGUGUUUUCUUUCUUGAUUUUACACAGAGCAAUAGUGCAUCUUACAGUCACUGGAGUUCCAGAGCCAAUUUAUUAUUACCUUCCUUUAUCUUAUGUAUGUCAAACUCUAAGGCAUUGGACCCAGAAAUUCAUUUUAUUAGAGUAGUUGUACAAACACAAAAGCUUAAUGAAGGAUACACAUUGCAUAAAUACUAAUAAAAGCAAAGAAUUGGAAACAAGUAAAAUAUUUAUGGACAGGAGACUGAGCUGUAGUACAAAACCCAGUGGAGAAAGGAAAAGAAAGAAGAAUGAAUAAUAAUUCUCCAUAUUGCCACGAAGUGAUCUCUGGGAUACAUUACAAAAUGAAACAGAUAUAGAAAAAUGUCAGCUCCUAUUAUUUAAAAAAUGGAC
ensembl:lincRNA